rnacentral:rRNA from 1 species
CCAGACUCCUACGGGAGGCAGCAGUGGGGGAUAUUGCACAAUGGGGGGAACCCUGAUGCAGCGACGCCGCGUGGGUGAAGGAGUAUUUCGGUAUGUAAAGCCCUAUCGGCAGGGAAGAAGAAAGACGGUACCUGACUAAGAAGCCCCGGCUAACUACGUGCCAGCAGCCGCGGUAAUACGUAGGGGGCAAGCGUUAUCCGGAUUUACUGGGUGUAAAGGGAGCGUAGACGGCAUGGCAAGUCAGAUGUGAAAGCCCGGGGCUCAACCCCGGGACUGCAUUUGAAGCUGUCAGGCUGGAGUGCAGGAGAGGUAAGUGGAAUUCCUAGUGUAGCGGUGAAAUGCGUAGAUAUUAGGAGGAACACCAGUGGCGAAGGCGGCUUACUGGACGGCAACUGACGCUGAGGCUCGAAAGCGUGGGGAGCAAACAGGAUUAGAUACCCUUGUA